UCGGCAAUACAGCGACCGUAACUUCGGGAUAAGGUCUGCCCCCACUUCGGU
rnacentral:rRNA from 1 species